rnacentral:lncRNA from 1 species
ACAUUCAUCAUUUAGAACAACCAAAAUACGAGAAUCAUCCCUAGUUUCGUUUGCUUCGACUUCGAAGACUGAAAUGCAUAACGAUGAACAAAAACCAUCACUCGGCAUUUUAUUACCCAAAGUACAGGCAGAAACGUCUCCAAUUUUCAAUCUAGCAAGCUCUAAACCUCCGCAGCCAAUACCUAUUCAACCGGUGGUAAGCGUCGUGGCAGAAGUUCAACCAAUUGAUCCCAUCCAACAUCAUGUAGAGCAACAAAGCAAAUUAAUUCCCCCAGUUUCCAGCAGCAAUAUUUUACCCCCUCCAAAUGCUCGACCGACUCCGAAAACCAAGCAGAUAGCAGUAAACGGCAAGGUUUACAGCGUUAUGAAACCGCUUGGGCGUGGGGGAUCAAGUGUCGUAUAUCAGGUACUGAACCAAGAAUGACAUAUUUGCCUUAAAAGUUGUUCGUCUUGAUUCCGUUGACGAAGUCACAGCUGAAGGCUAUAUUAAUGAAAUCCGGCUGUUGAAACAACUACAAGGUUUGCCUCGCGUCGUCCGCCUUCUUGAAUACGAGUACAACGAAGAAGAAGAGAAAUUGUUGUUGGUAAUGGAAAAAGGUGAUACCGACUUCGCAACUGUCAUCCGGACUCGCACCAGUCUCAACGCCAUCAACCCUACCCUGAUUCGCUUUUACUGGCAGGAAAUGUUAGAAGCUGUGAAAGAGAUUCAUGACAAGAAUGUGAUUCAUACAGAUCUGAAACCGGCUAACUUUCUUUUGGUCAAUGGAGGCUUAAAGUUGAUCGACUUCGGUAUUGCCACUUCUAUCCAGGCCGACAUGACGUCGAAAUGAAGGACAGCCAGUGCGGUACAUACAAUUACAUGACACCAGAAGCAAUCAAAUCUGCUACGCCUUCUGGAACGUACCAAGAGUAUAAGAUAAGCAGGAAAACAGACGUGUGGUCUCUUGGAUGUAUGUUGUACAGUUUCAUUUACAAGAACCCACCUUUUAGCAAGUUCAGGGACACAAUCGAGAAAAUCAGUGCCAUCGUUGCGUCAUGUUAUAGACUUUCCUUUGACGGCUGAUCCGAUGGUUAUAGCAGUUCUAAAAGGCUGUCUCGAUCGCAAUCCGCGCACUCGACCAUCAAUUGAGCAGCUUUUAUCUCAUCCAUAUUUGACAUGUACAAGUCAGUCUCCGGUCCAAAUAUCCUCGAAGAACAUUCCCCCUCAGCUGCGUAUUCAGCUUGAAUUUCUACUAGAAGGUGGUCAACUCACUGAGGAAGUCAAGGAAAAUAUUCGACAAUGGAUGUGAAUUACUUCCAUGAGCGACUUCCAUGCAAGCAAUACUGUAUCAGUCAUCAUUAUCAAAUUCAUCCCAUAUUGUAAUUUAAAUAUUGUUGUAAUAUCAGAUAUACAUAACCCUUUCCCUGCCCUUCAUUAACUAUCUUCACCUUGCAAUUAUAUAGCGUCCGUUUUUUCUUCUCUAUUGCUUUCCAGUUCUGUACAAAAUAACAUAAGCCAACUUUAACGGUUAUAAAAUAAAAAUAAAGUUAAGCGGCGUUAGAAAACUCAUACAUUUAUUAAGCGGCAAUUAUCCAAAAUUAUUUAAGGCU